rnacentral:tRNA from 1 species
GGGCUGUAAGAAUUUCGAUAGUUCGCUACGCUUGCACCGUAGAAGGCGGGGUUUGACUCCCCGAUGGUCCACCA